AGUAACACGUGGAUAACCUACCUAUAAGACUGUGAUAACUUCGGGAAACCGGAGCUAAUACCGGAUAAUAUUUUGAACCGCAUGGUUCAAAAGUGAAAGACGGUCUUGCUGUCACUUAUAGAUGGAUCCGCGCUGCAUUAGCUAGUUGGUAAGGUAACGGCUUACCAAGUCAACGAUGCAUAGCCGACCUGAGAGGGUGAUCGGCCACACUGGAACUGAGACACGGUCCAG
rnacentral:rRNA from 1 species